CUUGUAAAACAAAUAACUAUUUAUCGUCAGUACUAGUAAUUGUACCUGCCGGCCUAGCCAAGGUUGCAAUCGCUAUUGCUUCGACAACGAAACGCUUUGUGUCUCUCUAUCAGUCUUCCAUAUAAGUGCGACAGUGACAGUUGCGUUUCGUUUUUACAGACCUUAACUGGUAACACCUGUGUUCCACAAAUAAAAAUUACUUUACUUGCUCAUCAAAAUGGCGAGAGCAUAUUCGACUAUGUUUAGUCGGUUUCCAUAUUGCAUCGUUCCUAUUUAAUCUAAUUUUUUCCAUCUAUCUCGCAGACAGAAGCGGAUCAGUCGGAAAUCUAAAACGAAUAUCACACAAAAUAAAAAUAUGAAUUUAAACUGUAAUUUUAUAAAAGACAAAACAUAAUUUGAAAUAAAAGAAUGAAAAACUAAAAAAGAAUAUUUUCUAUAGUCAUACAAGGAACUUAAAGUAAGCAUAUUAAUUUUAUCAAUGUAAUCGUCAUGCCUCAUUUGGAGGAAAAAAGAUUCAUAUCACCUGGCAACAUUUAUAAGUAAUGGCGGCUGACGAAAAUUUGGAUUCUUGUAUUUACAAUUACGUAAAAAUAUCACAUUAAACUGGAUACUUACGCGUGAAAUGUUAUAUCAGGCGGUUUGUUUUUAUUCACUGAUGUGUUGUGACACCAAUUCACCGCACAAACAACCAUCUUUCUUGUAUUUUGUAUAGGUGUACACAAACCAACUCGACCUUGAGUACUGCGAGGGCCGUUCGGAUACGAUGACACGAGGGCGACAUAAUGUCGCCCUCGAAAUGGCUUCACUAGGGAUGUACAGACUAGGCAUCUAGGCUAGUUAUAAAUCUAUGCUUUUCACAGUACUACUCUUAACACGUUAGCUGCCAUCGACGUCAACUGACGCGCGUUGCCACAGCCCAAUAUCAACCUUCGUACUUUCCGAUAAGGUUUACGAUAACUCACUGCACACAAUAGGCGUGGUGUUCAAUAAUGCACUGACCCAACUAUAAGCUAUGUACCUACAUUAUGAUGAAAUCCAGAAAACUAGAAAGGGUCAAGAAGAGCAUUUGAAAAAGAUUAAUGUUUUUCAGAAGACUUAGGUCUGUAGUUAUAUGCCGUCGGUUUAAUGUAUUUUUUUAUACAUUUACUGUAAAUAAAAAUAUCGCAAUCAUUGUUGUAAUUACAAAAGUGACGAAGGGUUUCGACGCCGAUCGGUGUUAAUCGGUAGUCUUAUCUACUUAUAUUGGUUUAGUUCAAAAAUCUAUGCAAGCUGUUGAAUUUACUUUGUUUACCUGACCGAACUUAUAUAAUUUAAGAGUUAUGUUAUGAAAAAUAACAAUGUAACAAUUAUCUUUAUAGAUAACUAUCACCAAAUAUACGGUGAAGGUAAAUCCCAGCGCCUCUCCUACCAGAACUACAUAUUCACACCACACUACCACCGGAUGGUAAACAACGUACUGAAGACCAGAUGGUACUGUCGCGUUUUUUUUUUCAGACCGUAAUCCAUACGUUCACACCGCAGAGUUUGGAUAUCUAAAGACUUUAUAUAUAUUUUUAUUCCGCUAUUACACGGUUAUUACGUCCAAAGAUUUUAUUAAACGAUAUAAAUUUAAAAUGUAUUUGUUAUUGUUUAAAUAAAAUGUUAUAAAUUAUAUUUCCCUAAAAUUUUUCUUAUUAUUUUACCGAAUGAAAUUAUCAUUGUCAUGUUAGCUGUCAUUCACAGAAAAAAAAAAGAAAAAUUAAAACGUAAACCGGCGCCCGCUAUUUUCAGUAUUUUCAAUUAAAAUUGGAUUAAGUUGUAUCAAAAUAAUUCAAUUUAAAUAGCAAUUUUGAUUGAAAAGGGUUGUUGUGAUUCAUUUUUGUAAUAUAAAUCAUCGCUAAACGUAGUGUAUAGUGUUGAAUUAACAAUAUUAUUCAAGUUCAUCGGAAAAUUCCUUACUAUAAUGGUCUGUAAGUGUAAUAUUUACUCUCGUAACCAAUAUUUGUUUUAUUGUGUACAUUACGUCAUUCAAUCUACUUACUAGUGUCUUUUAUUCGCCCCGGGUCUAUGGAAGACAUCUCGGGACUUGUAAAUAAUGACACACUUGGCACACUUGCAUUGAAAUGUACUAUAUUCCAUUUAAUUUUCUUCAUUAAUUAUCUUUAUUGUAACGUAUCAAAAUUUAAUUAUUCUGUGGCAUUUUUUUUCUUGUGAGCCCCUAAAUCUUAAGACAAAUGACACUGUCAUAACUGUCUUUACAGGUGAAUAUUACCAAAUAUAUGGGGAAGGUAAAUCCAGGCGCCUUUUCUACCAGAACUACAUAUUCACUCCGCACUACCACAAGAUGAUAUACAACGAGCUGAAGACCAGAUGGUACUGUCGCCGGCAACACAAGAGCUGUCGGGCUGUAAUUUAUACUGUUGGUGAUAGAAUCACAACAGUUAGGAAUGAACAUAACCACGAUUCACCUUGAAUAGAAAUAAAACCAAUCGUGUGGCAUUUUCCAAAAGUAUAGUCAUAGACUUACUUACAUGUCCAAUAUGUUUUCAAUAACUGCCGUUUUCGUCACGUCACGCAAAGGCCUCCGCCAGAUCCUGUACGAUGGCUACAAGUUCUCCACCCGCACUAAACGCGGGAACACCCCAGUCGUCUACUGGUUCUGUUCGUCACACCACACGCGGGGAUGUCGCGCCUCAAUACGUACUAUAGAUGACUCUAUCAUCUUUGUGAAUCCUGAACAUAUACAUUGACGAAAUUAAAAUAUAAUAUAAUUGUAUUAAUGAUUCCAAUUUUUGUUAAACAUAUAGAAUAAAAUAUCCAUAAAUAAGUUUGUAAGUAA